rnacentral:rRNA from 1 species
CCUACGGGUGGCAGCAGUGAGGAAUAUUGGUCAAUGGCCGGAAGGCUGAACCAGCCAAGCCGCGUGAAGGACGAAGGUGCCAAGCAUUGUAAACUUCUUUUGUCAAGGGACAAAAUCAGGCUCGAGAGCCUGACCGAGGGUACUUGAAGAAAAAGCAUCGGAAAACUCCGUGCCAGCAGCCGCGGUAAUACGGAGGAUGCGAGCGUUAUCCGGAUUUAUUGGGUUUAACGGGUGCGUAGGGGGGCUGUUAUGUCAGCGGUAAAAGCCCGGGGCUCAACCCUGUCGAGCCGUCGGAACUGGCAGUCUUGAGUGGGCGAGAAGUAUGCGGAAUGCGUGGUGUAGCGGUGAAAUGCAUAGAGAUCACGCAGAACGCCGAGUGCGAAGGCAGCAUACCGGCGCCCGACUGACGCUGAGGCACGAAAGCGUGGGGAUCGAACAGGAUUAGAUACCCCAGUAGUC